ACUCUAGACGAACUGCCGUUGACAAAACGGAGGAAGGUGGGGAUGACGUCAAAUCAUCAUGCCCCUUAUGUUCUGGGCUACACACGUGCUACAAUGGCCGGUACAGACGGAGGCGAAGCCGCGAGGCGGAGCAAAUCCGAAAAAGCCGGUCUCAGUUCGGAUUGCAGGCUGCAAUUCGCCUGCAUGAAGUCGGAAUCGCUAGUAAUCGCAGGUCAGCAUACUGCGGUGAAUACGUUCCCGGGCCUU
rnacentral:rRNA from 1 species